GACUUCCUUCGGGAAGUGCAUAAAGUGGCGCACGGGUGAGUAACACGUAAGUAAUCUACCUUCGAGUGGGGAAUAACGUCCGGAAACGGACGCUAAUACCGCAUAAUGCAGCGGCAUCGUAAGAUGACAGUUGUUAAAGGAGCAAUUCGCUUGAAGAGGAGCUUGCGGCAGAUUAGCUAGUUGGUAAGGUAAUGGCUUACCAAGGCUACGAUCUGUAACCGGUCUAAGAGGACGGUCGGUCACACUGACACUGAAUAACGGGUCAGACUCCUACGGGAGGCAGCAGUCGGGAAUUUUGGGCAAUGGGCGAAAGCCUGACCCAGCAACGCCGCGUGAAGGAUGAAGUAUUUCGGUAUGUAAACUUCGAAAGAAUAGGAAGAAUUAAUGACGGUACUAUUUAUAAGGUCCGGCUAACUACGUGCCAGCAGCCGCGGUAAUACGUAGGGACCAAGCGUUGUUCGGAUUUACUGGGCGUAAAGGGCGCGUAGGCGGCAUGACAAGUCACUUGUGAAAUCUCCGGGCUUAACUCGGAACGGUCAAGUGAUACUGUCGCGCUAGAGUGCGGAAGGGGCAAUCAGAAUUCUUGGUGUAGCGGUGAAAUGCGUAGAUAUCAAGAGGAAUACCUGAGGUGAAGACGGGUUGCUAGGCCGACACUGACGCUGAAGCGCGAAAGCCAGGGGAGCAAACGGGAUUAGAUACCCCGGUAGCCCUGGCCCUAAACGAUGAAUACUUGGUGUCUGGAGUUUUUAGUGCUC
rnacentral:rRNA from 1 species